GAACCUUUGGUCCUUGCUUAAUGAGCCACCUGCAGAUGAAGUGUUCUACCCUCCUCUUGUUCCAGGGCUACGCUGAUGGACCAGGCCGCGUGCAGCCCAAAGCUGUGAUUCCUGUAAUAAAAGACAAAUCAAUAAGAGAAAAUGACCAGAGGGUUAUUAACACGACUAUCUCAUGUAUGCACAGGAGAUAUCCAGGAAAAACAUGGCUUGAUGAGCAGUGUGUAGGUCUACACCCAAGAUCUGAACCCACGAACCCUGGGCCACUGAAGCAGAGCACAUGAACUUAACCACUACACCACCAGGCCAGACCCUGGAGGAUAUGUCUUCAGGACAUAUCUGUUCGUCAAGAAAUAUCUCCUGUCAAGCAGCCUUUGAAAGAGAUUGCGGCUCAUGAUCUGAGAUCCCAGAAACACUCUCUGUCGUAAUGACUAAAAAAUUAAAAUGGACAUCAAAAGCCCUGAAAGCUAAACGAAAAGACAACUUUCACUGAGAAGAUGCGUUCUUGAGACCUAGACUUCUAACGAAGCACAGGAUAGCUAACAUAUCUGAAUCUCAGGAUUGUGCUUCAGAAACUCUCAUCUUCUAGGUCUGCCUCUAUUUGCUACUUUCUGACAAGUACUUGACCUCACGGCAUCUCCACUCCUGUCAAUCAAUCGAGAGCAACUAUGUUCAGUGCCGUCUAUGUCCUAGAGGUUCUCACCAUGAAGAAUUUGUAAAUAAAAAGUACUAUGAAAACGACAA
rnacentral:lncRNA from 1 species